UGUUCCAGCUGUUUCGAGAGGUACGCAUCAUGAAAACUCUGAACCAUCCCAACAUAGUGAAGUUGUUUGAGGUGAUUGAGACUGAGAAGACUCUUUACCUGAUUAUGGAGUACGCUAGCGGAGGCGAAGUGUUCGACUACCUCGUGGCUCACGGCAGAAUGAAGGAGAAGGAGGCCAGAGCCAAGUUCAGACAGAUUGUGUCUGCGGUGCACUACUGUCAUCGGAAGAACAUUGUUCACAGAGACUUGAAGGUGAAC